rnacentral:rRNA from 1 species
UACAGAGGGUGCAAGCGUUAAUCGGAAUUACUGGGCGUAAAGCGUGCGUAGACGGUUAUGUAAGUCGGGUGUGAAAGCCCCGGGCUCAACCUGGGAAUUGCAUUCGAGACUGCAUAGCUAGGGUGCGGAAGAGGGAAGCGGAAUUUCCGGUGUAGCGGUGAAAUGCGUAGAUAUCGGAAGGAACACCAGUGGCGAAGGCGGCAUCCUGGACCGGUAUUGACGCUGAGGCGCGAAAGCCAGGGGAGCAAACGGGG